rnacentral:lncRNA from 1 species
CGGCAGUACAGUCCAGCUUUGGCUCGGCAUCAGAGGGAGACCGUGGAAAGAGAGGGAGAGGGAGACCAUGGGGAGAGGGAGAGGGAGAGGGAGAGGGAGGAGAGGGAGAGGGAGAGGGAGAGGGAGAGGGAGAGGGAGAGGGGGGGCGAUCUGACAUUUUUGCUCUCAGAUGAAACAUGAUAAAGGAAGCCAAGCUGCCAGGAUUCCUGGAGGGGACCUUGGGUGCUGGGUCUUGGGCUCCAGGGCCCUAAUGGGACUGAACCAGAAGGAGCCAGGGAAGGGCAAACACUGGGACUGAGGCCCUAGGACCCAAUGGCCAUUGGUGGCCAGACCUUAUGGCCCCAACAUACCCUGUCCUCAGGCCACAGACAUCAUGGGCUUCAGUCAGGUCCCAGCCUCCCAGUAGUGUCCUGGUACUAGCAGGUGCUGACCCCUGAGCCACGACCAUAGUUCUGGGUUUUGGGUUUUGGUAAAACCACCUCAGGGACAGAGUUCUGGGGUUGGGUUUGGCAGGAACCAUGGUGCCUCCCAGGGAUGGUGUGUCACUCCUACUUGCCACAAAAUGUGCACAAAGGCUGUCCCACUGUCCAGCCCAUCCUGCUGGACAGGAUGGAGGAAGUCAGGGAACAGGUAGGGUGGACAUCUGGGGUGCAGGGAGAGGCAGGUGCAUGCUGGGAGGUCAGACCCUGUGAGGGCUGUGGGGGCAUCAGUUGGAGUGGGCUCCAGGGAGCCUGGGCUGAGACCUGCCCAGU